GACGAACGCUGGCGGCGUGCUUAACCCUUCCAGUCGCACGGAAAGGCCCUGCUUUUGUGGGGUGCUCGAGUGGCGAACGGGUGAGUAACACGUGAGUAACCUGCCCUUGACUUUGGGAUAACUUCAGGAAACUGGGGCUAAUACCGGAUAGGAGCUCCUGCUGCAUGGUGGGGGUUGGAAAGUUUCGGCGGUUGGGGAUGGACUCGCGGCUUAUCAGCUUGUUGGUGGGGUAGUGGCUUACCAAGGCUUUGACGGGUAGCCGGCCUGAGAGGGUGACCGGCCACAUUGGGACUGAGAUACGGCCCAGACUCCUACGGGAGGCAGCAGGGGGGAAUAUUGCACAAUGGGCGGAAGCCUGAUGCAGCAACGCCGCGUGCGGGAAGACGGCCUUCGGGUUGUAAACCGCCUUCGCCUGUGACGAAGCGUGAGUGACGGUAAUGGGUAAAGAAGCACCGGCUAACUACGUG
rnacentral:rRNA from 1 species